rnacentral:rRNA from 1 species
AACGUAGGAGACGAGCGUUAUCCGGAUUUACUGGGCGUAAAGCGCAUGCAGGCGGUCUAUUAAGUCACUUGUGAAAGCGCCCGGCUCAACUGGGCGAGGCCGUGUGAGACUGAUAGACUUGAGAGAGGUAGGGGCGAAUGGAAUUCCGGGUGGAGUGGUGAAAUGCGUAGAGAUCCGGAGGAACACCAGUGGCGAAGGCGACCACCUGGACUGAUACUGACACUGAGGUGCGAAAGCGUGGGGAGC